rnacentral:rRNA from 1 species
UACGUAGGGUGCAAGCGUUAAUCGGAAUUACUGGGCGUAAAGCGUGCGCAGGCGGUGAUGUAAGACAGAUGUGAAAUCCCCGGGCUCAACCUGGGAACUGCAUUUGUGACUGCAUCGCUGGAGUGCGGCAGAGGGGGAUGGAAUUCCGCGUGUAGCAGUGAAAUGCGUAGAUAUGCGGAGGAACACCGAUGGCGAAGGCAGUAUCCUGGAUUGUUUCUGACGCUCAGGUGCGAAAGCUAGGGGAGCGAACGGG